GGUCAAACGCAGGGCAGAAACCACAUUGCAUUUGAAGCUGCGACUCCAGGGCCUCGUCCUGGGAAGGCUCGCGGGUCUUGGCACGAGAUGAUGACCCCGCGUCCGGCAGCUGCCUUGGAAGUGGGCUCCGUUCCUCCUUCUCAGCGUUUGUUGGUUCAGAGUCUCUUGACUCUUCAUAAUACCACAGUGGCUGGUAGCCUUCUGCUCGGCCUGGGCUCCAGCGCUGAAGCAAUAGUUGCUCCAAAUUAGAACUCGCAGUAUAGUCUGUGGACUGACCCUUUUGGGGAAGUGACCACGGGGUCUGUGGCCACAAAACAGUGGGGGAGCCUCGGCCAGACAAACAGCAGAUGCAUGCGUUUUCCAAACAAAUGCGUGCCAACAGUGACAACUGUGUUUUCUAGACGCAGAGAGAAGGACAAUUUCUCUUUUCUUCUCAGAUGCUCCCAGGCAUCUCCAUAUAACGCUGGAUAGUUGCUACCGUUGAGAUGGUGCAUAUUUAUGAAUAUUUAUAGAGCGGUGGCCACGUAUCAGGCGUGAGUUCCUCUCCCCCUGAGGGCAGUGAGGAGACUGAAUAACCCCCUAGAGAGUCACGCCCUAAUCCUUGGAACUCACGAAGGACACCUCAGAGGUGACUCAGUUAAGCAUCGGGAGGAGGGGAGAGCAUGGCGGAUGACCUGGGAUCAACAUCCCAAUUGUCCCAAGACGGCAGGAGAGGGAGGUCAUAGGCAGAGAAGAGUUCAAGCCACGUGUCACCCAGGCCAAGGUUGAGUGAUGGGGCCGUGAGCCCAGAGGAGACAGCAGCCGUCAGACGCAGGAAGGAAGGAGACGGACUCUCCCUUGGAGCCCCCAGAGGACGCGCGGCCCUGCCGACACCUUCGUUUUGGCCUAGAAAACCUGAUUUCCAGGACGUGUCAUAAGCCACCCAGGCGGAGGUGCUCUGUCAGUGCAGCCCCAGGAAGGUGACAGUGGGUGCAGCGAAGACACUCCAUUUUCCGGGUGUGGAAACCUCCUGGCUGUGACCUUGACCUGUAAGGGGAGCACUGGAUCUGACCAGGGGUUUGGUCAAGUGGGCUGUGGGCUGUGUCCUGUCCAUCCAGCUCCCACCGAACACGGCGGCCCAAGUACCCUUGACUUUGACCGCCAGGAGCACAGGGGCCGGCUCCCCGCUUCUCAGCAGACCGUGGUGGCAGGCACGUCGCUAAGCCUUCUAGACGUCCUGCUGAGUGGACCCAGUAACCUCUGCUGCAGGUGGUGGCCAUUCAGGAUUGAGGUGGUUCAAGUGAUUUACUGUAUGUCUGUAUGUCUGUGGCUAUCUGUCUGUCUAUCAGCUAUCUGUCCACCGUCUAUCAAUCCUCUAUAUAUUAUCUAUCAUCUACCUGUCUAUCUGUCCAUCUACCUACCUAUCUGUCUGUCUGUCUAUCAACUGUCUAUCAAUCGUCUAUAUGUUAUCUAUCCAUCCACCCACCCACCACUCCAUCUGUCCAACCAUUCAUCUGUCCACCUCUCCUUUCACUUGUCCGUCUGUCCAUCCUCUAUGCCUUUCCACUCCUUUAAUCAUCCAUCUAGCCAUCCAUCCACUCCCAUUCAACCACCCAUCUGCUAAGCCAUCCACAAACAUGUGUUGAGCUUAAGUAUGAGAUAUUUAAGAGCAGGAUCUUAAGCUGGACCAAACUGAAAUUCAGAAAGAUACAGGCACCCCUAUGCUCACCACAGCACUAUUCACCAGAGCCCAGACAUGGAAAUAACAUGAAUGUUCAUGGACACAUGAACAGAUUAAGAAGAUAUGGUGCAUCUCUAAAGUGGAAUAUUACUCAGCCAUAAAAAGAAAGAAACCAUGCCAUUUGCAGCAACAUGGGUGGACCUACAGGUGAUCACACUGAGUGAAGCAGGUCACAAAGAGCCAGACAAAUACCCUCCGAUACCACUUCUCUGUGGACUCUAACACGUGACACAGAUCAACACUCCUACAAAAGAGCCACAGACGCACAUAGAGAACAGACUUGCGAUGGCCAAGGGGGAGGGGGCGGGGGUGGGAGUUUGAGAUCCGCCGAUGCGAACGCAUGUGCAUGGAACAGAUAAACCACAAGGCCCUACCGUACGUAGGGCACAAGGAACUCUGCGGCCAAUAUCCGGUGACAAACCAUAAUGGAAAAGAGUACGAAAAAGAAUAUAUACCUAUGUGUGUGUAACGGAAACACUUUGCUGUGUAGCAGAAAUUAACACGACAUUGUGAAGCAGCGAUACUUCAAUAAGAUAACUUUUUAAAGAAUGGGGUUUUAAGGAUGGGUUUACUAAGUAUGCAGGGCGGGGACCCUGGCCCCAGCUGCGGUGAUGGGGGGCGGGGGGGGCGGAUCCCAGGCUGGGAGGCCAGAGUCUGUGCAGGGAGGACCCUCACGGCCCGAGCACAGCCAGUGAUAAGGGCCUCGGCCGUCAGCGCAGAGCUGAGGACCCUGGGAAGAGGGGAGCCUCCGUGUCUGCCGGCAGCUCUGGGAGCGCGGGUAGGAGUCUAGGAUGUCAGAGAAGAGCUGCACCUUCCCGUCAUUGGGGGACAGUUAAGAAGAAGAAAUCAGGGCCCCAGGCAGGGGCAAUACGGGUCAAAAGCAGGAAAGAGACUCAGGUCCCAUCGCCGGAGCUUAAGGCGGGGAGAAAAGGCUCAGGAACAAGGGAGAAGGAGACCCAGGGGCCCAAGUUCAACCUGGUGAGCCGUCCAGGCAUGAGUGCUGAGACCCCAGGGUGCGGCAGUGCCCUGGGCAGGGCGGGCUGGGUGCCCUGCCAAGGCGUCCAGUGGUGCCAGCCGUGGGCAGACAGGUGCAAAGCGGGUGGGACCAGGCUGGGAGGAAUGGGCGCUGGGCAGAGCGGUGAGGAAGCACGGAUGGGGCCAGGCGCUUAGGGUCUCCCCUGGCUGCUUAUCCAGCCACAUGGUUAAUGACACUCAUUAUGGGCCGGGCACGUGGGCCACGCUGCAAACGAGACAGAGCUCUGGACCCCGGGAGCUGGUCGUCUAGCGGGGCAGGCAGAGUGACAGGAAAUCACGCUGAGGACUAAGAGCUGGGUGCUUGGGACACCCGUGGGGGCAUCUGACCUCGUGGGGGGGUGCGACUCCUCCGCAGGGGAUGGAGCAAACUGGGGACAGGGCAGAGGCUCUGGGCUCCGGCUGCGCAGCAGUCCCACCUGGGAGCUGCUGGACCCCACCCCAGAAAUCCCCACCCUACUGAUGGCGGGAGGCCACUGGGCACCCGUGUUGGACACAGUCUCCCCAGAUGAUGGCAAAGUCUGACCAGGCCCCGGGGGGGAAAUGCUUCAGGGGUGGGGGCCUGAUCUAGGCUGGGGGCGCCGGAUGCACACAGGCUUCCCAGGAGACGUCAUGUCCUCACACAGUGUCUGCUUUCUCUUCUCCCAAAACCAGAGCCCGGGGCGCUUCUGGGUCAGAGGUCCAGAAGCCUGAGGACCCAGCACCUUCGGUCUUCGCCCUCCAGCGCUGCCAACGUGUGGCCUCAGCCAGGCUGGUGCUCGGCCCUUCCCGGGGUGGCAGGCGCCUGGAGCAAGCAUCCGAUCGGAGGCUUUUUAGCCUCACCAGGAAGCAGACAGGUGCUUUGAGAGUUUCAAGGUUCAAAAAACCCUGUUGUGUCAUGGACGAACGAACUCGGUCAGAGCGGCGGUGGAUGGGGCGUGAGACGGUGCCUCUCUUCUCCGCCCCAGGGGACCCCACGGGGCUGGCUGCAGACCACACUUGGAACAGCAGGGCUCCAGAAGGCUCUGAUUUACCACCUGAUGGGGAUUUAUGUUGGAAGUUUUGAG
rnacentral:lncRNA from 1 species